AUUGAACGCUGGCGGCAGGCCUAACACAUGCAAGUCGAACGAGUGGCGGACGGGUGAGUAAUGUCUGGGAAACUGCCCGAUGGAGGGGGAUAACUACUGGAAACGGUAGCUAAUACCGCAUACCAUCGGAUGUGCCCAGAUGGGAUUAGCUAGUAGGUGGGGUAAAGGCUCACCUAGGCGACGAUCCCUAGCUGGGCUGAGAGGUUGACCAGCCACACUGGAGCGGAGACACGGUCCAUACUCCUACGGGAGGCAGUAGUGGGGAAUAUUGCACAAUGGGCGAAAGUCUGAUGCAGCGAUGCCGCGUGUAUGAAGAAUGCCUUCGGGUUGUAAAGUACUUUCAGCGGGGAGGCGUUACCCGCAGAAGAAGCACCGGCUAACUCCGUGCCAGCAGCCGCGGUAAUUC
rnacentral:rRNA from 1 species